GCCUUUCAGAACUAUCUUGUGAAGUCAUCCCGCUACCCAGAUUACCCUGUUUAUACGUAAUCCUACCAGAGCUGGGAUCUUAGGUGUCUUGUUCACUGCUGGAACUCAUACAUCGAAGAGUGCCUGCCUCAACAUAUCUGUCACAAUAAAUGGAGAAAAAGUACAAAGGAAAAAAAGACUAAUCGACCCCACAAGUGCACAGAAAAUUGAGAAAAAAUUGCACAACUCGUAUUUUAGACAUAUGGUUAAUUAAAAAUAGCAAGAGAAAGACCAUGGUCAAAAGUCAAGUGUGUAAAGGCGGAUAGGAAAAAAAAAAAGAAAAGAAAAGAAAUGGAAAUAUAACAACACAUGAAAAAUGCUCAACUUGAAAAAAGAGAAGGGCAAAUUAAAAAUACUCAAGAAUGACAGUAACCACCUACAAUGCUGAUAAAAUUCUAAAAUUUAUGUAUUGUUGAGGCUACAGGAAUGUGGGUACAGUACUAUUCUACAUUUUGGCAUGAUCUGUGCAGGGAGGUGGUCCAGAUAAAGAAGAAG
rnacentral:lncRNA from 1 species